GAAUAGAAUGAAUUUUAUACAGAAUAAAAUGAUCCGUUCAGCCCAGUAAAAAAAAUUGUUGUUUGGUUGGACCAAAGGAAUGGAAUGAUCCAUUCUUUAAUUCAUUCCAUUCUAAAGGCUUGUUUUAUAAUUUUUUCUCGCUCAGUGGGACAAGUCCAUUCCAUUCUCUCGGAUUAAAACAAAAACAACGUCUUCCCUCUCUGAUUCGGACUCACGCUGUAUAUCCCAUCUCCGACUCCGCCGAUUUCUUACAAGCUCAAUAUCAAAUCCACGCAUCUCAACGAUUUCUUUUGCCAUUUGCAACGAUUUUCAAACCUAAAUUAAUCUAAGCAUACAGUUUUGUUGAAUCAUACAUCUUUGCUGGUGGGGUUUCAACUCUUCUGAACUGGGGAAUUUUCUUCUUGAGAGCCAGAUCUGAACCUGCAUCUUAGACUGAAUGCGGCUUCAUCAUAAAUUUCUGAUAUUGUUCAGAGUGCUUUAUUCCCUGAUGCUGGCUUGGAAAGUGGACUUGGUCAUGCUGGAGAAGUGGGAGGGCUAGUAAUAGUUCGAAAUCUUGACCUCUUCUUGGAGAAAUUUUGUAUUUUAUUUGUAAAUUAUGAAGGAGAAUUAGCAGUGGCCAAAGUUUGGAUUUUUUUUGUAAAUUUUUAAUAUUUAUUAUAGUUGAUUUAGGUACUACUAAUUUGUAAUUUGUGUAAUGAAAUGUGAAGUAUGCUAUUGACAUGAAAUUAAUCCAUUUGUCUAUUUGAUUUAUAUA